GACUUAGCCAGCCCGCCAAACGGUGCCGUUUCAACAAUCCAAUCCUCCGUUCCCGCUACUCCACUCGUCAACCCGUCCGAGUCGACCCUCGGCCGCCACCUCGCUCGCCGGCUCGUCCAAAUCGGCGCCACCGACGUCUUCUCGGUCCCCGGCGACUUCAACUUGACGCUUCUCGACCACCUGAUAGCCGAGCCCGGGCUCAACUUGAUCGGUUGCUGUAACGAGCUGAAU
rnacentral:lncRNA from 1 species